CCCCUCACCAGCAAGUGGAUUCCCAACCACUGCCACCAGGGAAGUCCCCAGACGGUAAGUUCAUGAAGCAAGGAGCCAUUUCUGUGCUGGUCAUUGUCAUUGGCUUCCCCAGAAUCGGACUUUGGCUGACAGGAAGUUAUGUGAAGGAGGUUUACUGAAGCGUGAUCUAGGGAGCACCAGGUGGUUAAGGGAACCGGAUUGGUCUGGGAGAGAAUUAAGUGGUUCCUCCAACCCCCAUACACCAAGUACCAGCUGUCUCCCAGGCUCCAGAGACCCAGAGGAGAAUAGUAAUAAAAGCUAACACUUCUAUGAUGCUGGGCACUCUUUUAAGAACCUUGGGAGGUAAGUACUAUUAUUGUCACUCAGGGAGAAUGCUGAGGCAUACAGUUAACUGGCAAAAAGAAAAUGGGGCUUAGUCUCAGGCAGUUUGACCCCAGAGGCUGUGCUUGUAACCCUUACACUGAACAAUCUCCUCUUUGCCUUCCAAGUGUUCAGGGUAUGGCAGGACGGGGCUGACAGACAAGGAAAUGACCACAUUCAACAGUGCAGGAAUUGCUGCUGUGUAUACGCUCAAACAAUUUGCUUUGGAAACAUGGAGCAAAAAGCACUGAACUCUAUGAAGUUGGGCAGGAUUUUUCUAGAGGCAGAGAGGUUUGUGUUAAAUCCUGACAGGUGAGUGGGAGGAACAAAUGAACAAAGGGGCAUUUAAGGUACCUUCCAGGUAAAACAAAAUCCAUGUUUUUUCACACCUGUUUCGUGCAUACCUGCAUUCAAUACCUGCUGUUCAAUUUGUGUGUGCUAGACCAGACUGCAAGUAUUUUGUGUACUAUUAAUCCCAAACCCUUGUCACUGGAGGGCAAGUAUAAUAAUCCUCAUUUUACAGGUGAAGAGACUGAAAUUCAGAGAGGUGAAGUAUGGUGCCCAAGAACAUCCAGCCGAAGUCCAAGUCCAGUUUGUCGGACUCUCAAGCUGGUACUCCUGACACUCUGCGAAGUAUAAAGGGAAGACAGAUGAGUGUUGUACAUCAACUAUACGUCAACUAAAAAAAAGAGAGAGAAGAAUCUGGAAAAGACAAAAUCUAUGAGACCUUGCUCCACAUUGCUUGUCAUGAUGCUUGAGGCUAAAGAAGAUGGCUUCUGCUUUAAUACGUUGAGGCCUAGAGGAACGUAAAAUGGACUCAGAUUGCCGGUGGUCUUCACUAGACAGCAAAGCAUGCUUGGAAGAUUUCCUGGUAAGAACCUGAGACCCUGUAAGAGCUCUGAGGUCAAGGACAAUGUCUCUCCUGUUCAUAGCUCUAUUCAGGACACCUAAUAAAGACUUCUAACCCAGUCUAUGAAGGAUGUUUCUGAAUCUUCCAAUCAGAGAACCUGGACUCUAAGUUGCAGGUGGAGAAGUCAUCUUGUGUUUAUAAAAUGACCAAAGGAAUAAAAAAGAAAUGCUAAGGAUGGCAGAACAUAAAGAGAGUAGACUGGGAUUUUAGUAAUAUCAUGGGUUUACUGCACCAGCCCUGCACUGCCUAUCUAUAGCCAUCUUUUUUUUUUUUUUUUGUAUGACAAAAUAAUCCCUCUUUUGGAUAAUUCACAAUAGGUUAGUGGGUGAAAUGUACAGCUAUUGGAACACCUAUAUAGUACCCCCAUGUACUAUAUACAUAUACAUAUACAUAUAUAUACUAUAUACUAUAUACAUGUCAAUGUCAUACCAUAAAUCAGUUAUUUAUUUUCUUACCUCUUUAUCUUUGCUAAUUUUUUCUCUCCAGUUAGAUGAUUAUCUCCUUGUGGGUGGGUAUGAUCUUAUAUGUCUUUAUCAAUAUUUUAUCAUUAUUCUUAGACACUGUUAGAGGCAUCUAAGUAAUUGAGUGCAACUAACACGCAAUUAUAUCAAUCAGCCAGUAACUAUGUAAUAAUAUAAACUAUGCAUCCAGAAUAAUAGAGAUCAUGCAAGCUGGGGGAGUUUGCAUUUUGGAGUAGUUUUAUUUUUAUACUAGAAGUCAGAUCGUUGCAUAUGGGUUUUUAAUGUACUUGUUUUAAAAUGGUCGUUGAGUCUUUUCAUACAUUAGAUUGUUAUAUUUCAGUAUUUAAUUUCAUUAUAUUUUGCAUUAAAGGAGUGCUUGUAAUUUCAGCAGCCAGUGUUAAAAACAGAAUAAUUAGAUGAUAGAGUCAGGCAACCUUAUAAAACCUAUUUAAACUAUAUCUUAAUGUAGUUCUUAUUAUGGGAUAAAUCAUAUAAUACUAUGAAGAUAUUCUUGCAUUUCCAAUGCAAAUUUGAAAGAAAUAUUCUUUCAUUAGCUGUGUAAGAAGCCAUUCCUGCAAUUCAGGAAGUCAAGAAACUGAAAGCCUGGGUGUUGGAUGAAUUAUCUAUAUAGAGUUAAGUUCACCAAGAUGAUAAGAGUAAAUGAUAGAGAGGGAAAGAGUGAGCCAGGUACUAAAGUGACUGAUGAAUGAAGAAGAUUGAUCAAGAGGUAAAAAACAGCAAAAUGAAAGUCAGCAAGGGAUAUUGUCAAAUGAUUAUGUAUUGGUAUCAAGUAUUAUUAUUAAAAGCAUUAUUUUAUUAAAGUUUUGAUUUUUCUUUCCAAUAAUUAUUUAUGAAAGUAAGUUUAAGUUUCUAAAUUAAUGGUUUUCUUUUAUUUGUUCUUUAUUUUGAAUUUUAUUAUAUUUUGACUAUAUAACAUGGCCUGUUUAAUUCCAUUUAGUAGAACUUCUUUGUGGCUUAAUACAUGGUCAAUUCUUAUCAGUGUUUCACUGUUGUUUUAAAAGAAUAUCAUUCUCAUUUUGAGGGGUCUAGAGUUUGAUAUAUAGCUCUUGAGUUCAUCUUACUAAUUAUAUUAUUCAGAGAGUGAGGAAAUCAAACCCACAGUUUAACUCAUUUUGUAUUAAACGCAGAAUAAUAUGUGUAUGCUAUUAUAUAGUUUGUUGUGUGGAAGAAAACUUGAAAAUUUAAAAAAUUUGAAAGAUUAACCCUGUGAUUCUGACUUUAAAAUAUUACUUGAUGCUGUUUGUUAUUUUAAGCUGAAAGUUGUUAAGAGAAUUUGCUUAAAUUUUAAAAGACUAUUGAAAUAUUUUAAAAUAAUUUGUAAUUAACUCUAAAUAGUUGUGUAAAAGCUAAGGAGGAUUUGCCUAGUAGUGUUGUGUAUGUAUCUGCCCGAUCAAGCACUUGAAGUUCU